rnacentral:rRNA from 1 species
UACGGAGGGUGCAAACGUUGCUCGGAAUCAUUGGGCGUAAAGCGCACGUAGGCGGUCUGUUAUGUCGGAUGUGAAAGCCUCGGGCUUAACCCGAGAAGGGCAUCCGAAACUGGCGGGCUUGAGUACGGAAGAGGGUCUCGGAAUUCCCGGUGUAGAGGUGAAAUUCGUAGAUAUCGGGAGGAACACCAGUGGCGAAGGCGGAGACCUGGGCCGAUACUGACGCUGAGGUGCGAAAGCGUGGGGAGCAAACAGG